AACCCGCUCGCAUUCUCUCUCUGUCUCUCAAAAAUAAAUAAACAUUAAAAGGAAUGAGCAGUUUCAUUACCUCCUAAGGAGAUGGGAGUCCACGUGCGGUCGCUGUGGUUCAUUGUCCGUGAUUCCCAGAUGUAACUAGAGGAAGCCCUUGGUCUUGCUGAGUGGUGGCACUCGUCUUCACAAAUCCCUGCUGUCCCCUGGCUCAUUCGUUUUCUUCUCAGCCCAGUCCCCUCAGUGCUUGCUCUUCGUACAGCACAGCUCGCUGUACCCUGCUUAAAAUCUUUCUUGGGCUCCCUCAUCACCUUUCCAGGAACAGUGUAGGUACCAUAAUUUGGCUCCUGUCUUGACCUUUCUGGCCUUCCGUGGAGCCUCACCCUUGUGGGCUGAAUCACAGUGGACAUAAUCCCUUGAAUCCACUUAUAUAUACAAUUUAUGGGGUCUGGCUAUUUUUAGAAUGCUUUUUUGCCAGUGUUCGUUUUCCUACCCCCAUUGCCACAGUGUUUGAGAUCUGGGAUUAUGAUUAUGAGUUUCUUAGUUUUGUGUAUAGAAUCUUCUUUAAAGGUACUCUUUAAGGUGCCCCAAACUUUCCAGAAACGCUGCACAUCUGAUUGGCCACUUCUGUCCCUUUCCGAGGAUGGGUCCUGUCUUUGAGGACUAAUGCCCUCCCUGCCUGUGAGUUUAGGGAGGAUGUAGUGAUGCUGAGAGCCAUUCCAGUCAUAUCCUCAGUCCCUUACGAAGUGCGUCCAUACAGUUGUGGGCUCUCCAGAUGAGUGCCUCCUGGUUUCUGGUGAUUUCUUACAUCAGAGGGGUCUGUCUGCCUAUCCUGAAGCUCCUCAAACCAGUGUGUUCAUGAAAACUUUGCCUUGCAUCCAGACAUGGACUUUGCUUCCUACGUGGCACAUUUUUAAAAAUAUGUUUAAAUGUUUAUUUUUGAGAGAGAGAGAGAGAGAGCGCGCACGUGCAAACGGGUGGGGGGGGGGGGGUCGGAUACAGAACCUGAAGCAGGCUCCAGGUUCUGAGCUGUCCGCACAGAGCCUGAUGCGGAGCUCGAGCUCACGAACUGUGAGAUCAUGACCUGAGCCGAAGUCAAGACGCUUAACCAACUGAACCACCCAGGCGCCCCCAUUUCUCUGGGAGUGUAUCAUGGCUUUUCUAUUUAGGCAGCUACUGACACAGUAUUCUGGUUUCCCAUGAAAUGGGCUCUGAAUACUUCUGCCUGGUUUUAAGGCCCCUCCUACCUGCCCCUUCCUUCUGCAUUCAGGCUCACCUGUGACUUGCUGUUCUUAUAGAGCUGUCUCCUGUCUCCAUACCCAAACACUAUCCGCUCACUCCUCCUGGCCUUUACUUGGUUUCCCCCCUCUUCUGCAGCCCCUACCACCGGCCAUCUGUGAGAGCUACUCCAGAGCCCCGGUGUUUGCAGCAUGGUCCUGACGACUCCAGCCUGCCUGGAUAUGGUUUCCCUCCCUCCUGUGGUAGUCACUGCAGAGCUCACAAACUAGUGUCCGGCCGGCCACACCCAGCCCAUAGCCGUUCUCUGUGUUCAACUACAUUUGGCCCAGCUGCUGUCAUUUAAAUUUCAAGAAACUUCACAGAGAUACUGGGUUUCUGGCUUGUUUUGGAAAAUCAAUUUGAUAACUCUCUUAACCUAGUAGCUACUUUUUGUAAAUGGUGAAUAUUGUUCCCAUGUUGCCACAGUCCUACCCUGUCCUUGUUGUAACAGACCUUAUUAUGGUCUGAUAAUAUCUCUUACUAACAUUAUCUUCCUGGCUCCGAUAAGCAUCUGCAUUUGCUAUCCCUUGGUUGCUAGUCUGUAUCAUCCUCUACCCCUACCCUCUUUCUGUUCUCAAAAUCCUUGUGUGAUUUUUGUGAGACUAGGGAUGGCAGCUUUAUAUGUGUGCAUAUGUGUGUGUGUGUGUGUGUGUGUGUGUGUAUACAUAAUUUACAUUUUUAAUGUUUUGAUAUUUAAAAAGAAUUUGUUUUAAGUUUGUUUAUUUUGGAGAUAGCAUGUGAGCAGGGAAGGGACAGAGAGAGAAAGAGACACAGAAUCUGAAGCAGGCUCCAGGCCCUGAGCUGUCAGCACACAGCCCAACGUGGGGCUCGAACUCAUGAACCGUGAGAUCAUGACCUGAGCCGAAGUCGGCCGAUUAACCAACUGAGCCACCUAGCCGCCCCGGUUUUGAUAUUUUAACUUGAAUGCCAUGGUUGAUGUACACGUGACAGAACAUUUUUUUUCUUAUUUAAUAUACCCUACCUGGCAUUAGCAGCAUUUGAAGAUCUUAGUACCUUAAUACCAUCAUGAACAAAUUCCAUGCCACAUACCUCUGCAUCUCUGGAGGUAGGCAGGACAGAGCACAGAGCCAGGGAGGGUGAUUCCCAACUGGAAGGGAGAGUGCUAGGGAGAGAGAGGGAGGGAGACCUGUUUUUUCAUCUUUCAGUCUCCGUUCCAGCAUCAGCUGCUCCAGGAAGUUCUCUGGUCCAAUUUAGAUGUGUCCCUGUUGUUUCCCCAGAGCACUUAUUGAGCACUUCCUGUUCUCAUAUUAAGUGCCUCUGCAUACUUUAUUUCAUUUGAUCAUUGUAACUGUCUCGUUCAGGUAGCAACUCUUCUCCCGUUCAACAGAGACGGAAUCUGAGGCAGGAAGUUAAAUAAGUUCCCUAACACGUGGUUUGCAUCCAGAUUUGUCUCGAUUCCAAACCUGAGACUCCAACCACCUCACAAACUUGCCCUCCUGUGGCAUACCCCUCUGUACUCGUGUGAUUGAUGGUAUGCUUUUGCGUCCCUCCCUGUUCCCUGUGAACUUACUGAGGUCAGGGGAUGUGUUUACUUAUUUCUGUACUCUUGGCACCUGAAACAAAAUCGGCAAACAGGAAGUGUGUGAUAAAGGAAGUCAGUGCGAAUGCGUUUCAUUUUUUCCCCAGCUUAUUUGUAGAUCUUUUCACCUCUUCUGUUUUAAUUCUCAUGUGGUCCUAUUUGAGAGUAGGGUUUUUUUUCUCUUUAAGUCACCAUUUGUAUUAUACAACAGGGAAAGGCACUUAAAAUAUUUAGCCUUUCAAAUUGCCAAAGGGGAUCUUAUUAGGUGUUCGUAAUUACACUCACAAGUCAGGAUGGAUAAUGGAUAUCCAUGUGGAGUACAGAUGGCAGGGGUUUUAUUGCAGUUGGUAGAUCUUCAGCAGUUUCAGGUGAGAUUCUUAAAAUGUUUUGAUUCCGUCGUUUUUGCAAGUAGACUGAUAAUAAUUAAGCCAUUUUUCAAAAAGGAAGGAUAAAUAUACAAAUACCAAAUGAAGUUUAUAGUUUUUACUGAGACAUCCAAAAUAUGGAGUUGCAUAUCAUUUUGCUUCUGUGUCUCCUUUGUUCCUUAUUUGGUGCAAUAAGUAGAUAAGUGAUUACUUGCCAGAUAGAUUAUUGAACCUCUGUAACACUAUAUAAUUUCAGAACCUUCCAUACUUCUGCUUUGAUAGUGUGAUCAAAGCAAAUUGGAUUAUAAUCAACCAGUGCGGCCAAAUGUGGAACAUGUAGAAGACACAGAGUCUCUGACAGGAAAGUGAGCUAACGUGUGCCAUGAUUGUGAUCUUGAUUCCUGGGUCACCCAAGUAUCAUUGUAUAGAGGAGUCUGAGAACAGAAUGAAUGAAGUUGCUUUUUUAAAAAAAAAUUUUUUUUAACUUUUGAUAAAUAUUCGAGUCUAAAAAACAGAACCAGUACAUUAACUGUAGCAUCAUAGUCCUCAGGCUUUGAGAUAGAAGCCUCUGUUCUGAGAAAGCUCUGGCAUAAUUAAGAAAUUUUCAAUUAAGAAAUCAAGAACCACACGAGGUCUCCCCUCCCCUGAAAGUGAAGUUUUAAAUCCAGUUAAUAAGUAUACAUCAGUCUUUCCAUGGAAAAAAAUCCGGCAACAGUGAUGGCAUUGACCAUACAGAGAUUUGUACCAACUUUGAAGCAGAAGGAAAGCCUUAAAUGAUAGGGAAUCCUUGUUUCUGGCGGUCUGCAGGUCUAGUACCGCUAGCUGCCUUUUACUGAGUGCCAGGCUUACCUCUAACAGCCCUCUGGGCUGCAUAUCGUUCCCAGUUUUACUACAGGAGAAUUGAGUCAUUGAGAUGAAAUAACCUGUCCAGUGUCUUAUGCCUCAGGUUGUCUGACCCCAAACCUCUGUUUCCCUGUCCAGCAGUGCCACCAGGAUGAUGCAUCUUCUGUGUGUACACACACAGGUAGUCUAAACCUAUUUGUUAUUUGGAAAAAUAACAUGUUGGUUGUUAUGUUAUUUGGAAAAAGCGAAUCUGUAAAGACACGUAUUCGUUCAGCCAUUCUUAGACCAACCAGUGACUGUUCUACUGCAUGUGUUCUGGGUUACUUUAAGUGGAAUGAUGCUGUUAAUGCCUAAGAACAGUAAACUGACAUUCACAUUUCCUUGUUUGUUUGUAAAUUUCAGUAAAAAUUGAAAUGUGGUUGAGUUCUCAAUGUAGAAAAUUAAAUUCACUUUUGAUACUCGUCCCAGUUCCUGAUAAACAAUUGUCCUCAAUUUUAGGUAACUGGAUAAUUUUUAUUAUUUCAUUACAAAUUUUCUUUCUUAAACAGAGUCUCUGAUGAGUAUUUAUGUACCUCUUUCCCACUUUUUCAUUGUCUUUUAUUGGUUUGGAUAAAUGUGCAGCUCAAAGCUGGAAGAGUUCAUUGGCGUGACUAAAUUACAUCCCAUGAGUCAUGCUCCAAGAACGUUCUAGUCCUGAUAUUCAUGGUGCUGACAUGAUUGGCCCCUGUGACUGAAGACCGUAUGUGGAGAACUCCUUCCAGUGCUAGUGCUGAUUUGUGAAGACUUAACUGUCAAAAAUGCCGUAACCGGGGUGCCUGGCUGGCUCAGUCAGUAGAGCAUGCAACUCUUGAUCCUGGAGUUGUGAGUUCGAGCCCCAUGUUGGGUGCGGAAACCUACUUUAAACAAAAUGCCAUAACCGUUAUCACAAUUAGACUCUAUCCACAUUAACAUGCCCAGAGUUUCAGGGAAAUAUAAUCACAAUGAAUACGUAGUACACUAUUUUUCUAAAUUUGUAUUCUAGGCCAGAGAUCAGUUCCCAGUUUUAUGAAGAUGCAGUCUUUUGGUAUCCGUGGAUGAGAAAUAAAGUAGAAAAGGGACAAGGAGGGGUUUCCUGGGUGUCUCAGUCAGUUACACCUCUGACUUCAGCUCAGGUCAUGAUCCCAUGGUUUGUGGCUUUGAGCCAGCCCGUGUCAGACUCUGUGCUGACAGCUCAGAGCCUGGAGCCUGCUUGGGAUUCUGUGUCUCCCUCUCUCUCUGCCCCUCCCCCGCUUGCGCGGCUUGCUGGCUCCCGCUCGCGUGCUCUCUCUCUGUCUCUCUCUCUCUCAAAAAGAAAUAAACAUUUUUAAAAAAGAAAGAAAAGGGACAAGGUAUUAGAGCACUGGUAAAAUAAUCUUCAUUCAAAACCAGCUGUGCCACCCACUGGUGUUGCAACCUUCGUUUAAGGCCCCACGAUCCCUCUGCACCAUGCUUUCCUUAUCAGCAAAGUGAAGGCAGUAACCUCAGCCCUGCCCGUCUCUUGUUGAUGACCACGUAAAAUAAGGAGCACACGGGUGGCAGGUCGAGGUAUUCUGUAACCACAGAAAGGUACUGAACUGAGACCCAGACUCAGGUUUCUAAUCUGGUACACAGCCAGACUUUACUCAAAGUUAGGCCCCAUUUUCUUUGUUGGCCUCAUGUUUGAUGGAAGACGGGCAGAGGGUUCCACGCACAGUAGUAGGGUCACUCUUAGAAACGGAUGCCCCAGAUGGCUCCGUGGACUAGCUCCCCACUUAACACCAGACGCCCAUCCUCUCUUUCACUUCUCUUGUUUUUUUUCUCUCUCCACUACUUAAUCUCUCACUCUUUCCGAUCUGUCUUAUAGAAAUUAGUGAAUAUUUUUAGAGAUGAGAGACCCAGAGAUCAUCUAGUCAAAUCUGUUUAUUUUUAAGCUGAGUGAACCAAGGCCGAGAGGUUAGCACACUGCUCAAGAGCACACAGCUAAUACACAGCCAAGCUGGUGAACCCCAUGUGCUCAGUUUCGAAAGCAGAUCUGUUUUCACCACACCGUGCUGCCUUUAAAAUUUCGUUCCCAUGGAAUGGGGCACCCCCUUUUAAAAAUAUGGUUACAUAUCUCUGCAGAAGUGGGUUUCUAACACCAGCCACUAGCAUUUAGUGUGGUGCGAGCCGUGUCUUCAUAAUUCCUGGUUUCUGUGGUCAAGGCUCCGUGUGAAAGAGCUGACCCAUCUUGCAGAGAAGCAGAUUGUGGCAGAAGGUAUGGGUAACUUCAAACCCCUAACACUGGCUGUGAGAUUAGACCUUACAUGAGAAAAGAGGAGUUUCCUUUGCCUCCCCCGUGUAUUUACAGGCUAAAGCAACCACAAAGUUCAGAGGAAAGUGUAGGAUUUGUGUACAUAUGUUCAUUUUUUUUUUUCCUCUCUCACAGUCUCAUUGAGAACAAAGUGCUUGAGGUUUGGGGGGUUUACCUGAGAAGCAGAGAGACUAAGUCAGAAACCUGGAUCUGUUGUCCUUAGGAGCUGUGUGAACUUCUAGAACUCCCCUCACUUCAGCUUUCUCAUCUGCGAAACGGGUUUGAGGGUUCCUGAUUUGUUUGUCUUCAUUGAGUUCUGGUUCUGCCCCAAGCAUGGUUACUGGGUAGGGUCAGAGGACGCUGGGUAGCCCAGAAGGAAUAGUGGUUUCUCCUGCAGUCCCCCUGCAUUAGAUUUAGAAUUAACAAGGGUAUUCAGUGCCUGCGGAUUAAAUACCCAAGGAAUUAUUUUGGGUAUUUUUGUCCUUUGUCUUGAAUAUGUGUAUUCCUCAGCUAGAGAAAUUGGUGGCAUGUAUUGAAAAGAAAGAAAAGACAAAAGAAAUGCUGAUUUGCAUGGAAGGCAUUUGCAAAGAAAGAAGAAUGUUUUCUCAUUGGCAGAUAUUGUCUUCAUGUGUUUCUAAUGAAACAGAAGCCAAUGGGUCUCUGGUUUAUUUCUUUGUUUCCACUGUGAUGUUGUUGAUGUCAGCAAAAAAUGUGGUUUGUUUUUUGGAGAGGGUCAUGUUUUCUUUUUCCAUUUAGCAUAGGAAUGGUGGAUCCUAUCUGCCACACCCCUCUAAAAUAAUAAAAUAUGUCUAGAAUAUGGGAUGUGACUACAGCUUUCCGUGGUCAGUUAGAUCCAGUCUCAGGAUCUGGACUCUGAAAAUUCUUUUGGAAAUGCUCAUGUAACCAUAGCGACAGACGUGCAUAACACUGCCUAAUAAUUACUUUCUAUGCUCCUUCCCUUCGUACUGUCUACUUAGUAUCAUGUGGAAUGGAGGGCCCAUACUUUUAGGAUGUGAGUGCUAAUUUACAUAUGUUAACAUGGCCCUUUGAUUUUUUUCAAUGCAGGGAAAGUAAACCUUGAGCCUCAGUGAGAACCAGUCUUCUCAGAAUCUCUUCCUUCCCUCGCUCAGAAUUCAUUGUUUGCUCAGCUGAGCUCCACCCCGAUGGGGCCAGCUUCCUGCCCCCCUGACACCUCUGUGGAUGCCAUUUGUAGUUGGAGAGCUUACCUGCCGAUUUCAGUGCGAUGGGCCCACGAACGCCCACAGCUCUCAGUCAGUAGACACAUCAUGAGCCAAAGAAGACAUUUAUGUAAUCUGGGGACAAAUUUGGAAACUCCUGUGAGAAAUCUCACAGAAACCCUUUCCAAAUGUGAGCUAAUGGCUGCCUUUUGUGGUGUUUUCUAAAGCAUUUGAAAACCAUUUCUGUAUCUGUACUUCCUUUAUUUCCACCCAUCAGACUUUCCUUUCUGGUGCCAUGUUGUCAGUUUGAGUACUGUGACACCAAUUUUGGAUAUCUGUCAUGAGAACACAUGUUGCUUGCUUUGUGUGCAUCUUUUUGGUUUUAAAAUGAUUUUGUUUUUGCUUACUUUUUUUAUGUUUUAUUUAUUUUUGAGAGAGACAGAGCACAUGUGGGGGAGGGGCAGAGAGAGAGGGAGACACAGAAUCCGAAGCAGGCUCCAGGUUCUGAGCUGUCCUCACAGAGCCCGACGCGGGGCUCAAACUCACUAACCAUGAGAUCAUGACCUGAAUCGAAGUCGGAUGCUUAACUAGCUGAGCCACCCAGGCACCCCUUUGCUUCAUUUUUAAAGAUGGGAUUGUCUAAACAUUUUUCUCUGUGGCAAAAAUGGAAUUGAUGCUGGGAAUUUGUUUUUGCUGUGUUGAAUUGAAUUUUCUGGGUCUUUGACCUCGACUGAACUUCGCUUUAUCUUUUUUGUUGUCUUAAACUCACUGGACAGAGAGCACUCGUGGGGUAUACGGUCAUCAGUGUGCUUCCCUUGCUGCCUGUAGACAUGACCUCACUACCUCCUUACAUCCUUGCUUCGGAGCGGUUGUCAUCUGGGAGGUGAAUGGCCAGGCUGCACGAGACAGAGACCGUUUACUUCCUCUUGCGCCCUGAUCCUGCGUGGCAGCAGCUUCCUCAGUCUUAUUCAGGUUCCCGUGGCUGGUGGUCCUCAGCCCUAGCAGGUAUCACGACUCCUCCCUCUUGGAGCUUCUGAUCCGGACAGGCUGGUAUGGGGCCCCCGGGUCUGCACAGAAAACACUCACGGGCGAGUCUGGUGUGAAAGGGUGCAGGCGGGGCUUGGAGGACAGGCCUGCCCCCUGUGCACCAGCUAGGCCUCACAACGAGGAAACACGGGUGAGGAGUUGGGAACGUUCCCUCCACCCUGGGACUGGCCUCCAUCAGCAAUGGGCAGGGGGCCUUCUACCCCCGGGCUCGGGCUCAUUUCGUUCCCUGCCUCUGACACUGCCGCUCCUGGAGCCACCCACGAGCCGCCCUCCCCAUCCUUGUGCUUCUGCCCUUCGCCUUCUCUUGACUCCAUUUCAGCCUCAUGGAGGAGAGUCACGCGUGCCGCCACAGAGCUUUUUCGUGAGCGCAUGUUUCUGCUGUUGGCUCACCCAGACAAGUGCCGUAUUCUUUGUUUUCCUCAGUUCGGGUUGGGCCUGCCACCCUGUUUGGUAAGAGGUCAGGUCAGGUGCUCACCCCAGAUGUUCACAGCUGUGCUGGGUGUGGUCCCAGGAGGCCCGGUGGGGGGUCUGUCCAGGACUCAUGCUGGCUUUUUUAAAGUCAUUUUCAGAGCCUCCUGUCAGUAACAUGACCAUCAGGUGUCUUUGCCAGCUCACCCUUUGUAUUUCAUGAUUGGGUGUAGUAGAAGAGACCCUAAAUUUUGAAUUAAGAUUUAAGAGUUAAAAUCUUUCUGGGCUCAGCUUCCUCCUUUAUAAAAUGGGGGCUAAUGCAGCUUUUCUCCCAGUAAUAAAGUGGAAUGUAUGUGAAAUUGCUUUAUAAACUAUUACAUAGAAAGAAGAGACUGUUGUUACAGCUGUAACAGUAUAGUACCCACCUUUUUAUCCUGAUGACUCCCUCCUCCCCCACCCUGCUUUGUUGAGAUAUAAUUGACAUAUAACACUGGGUAAGUUGAAGGUUUACAACACGGUGAUUUUAUAUAUGUAUAUAAUGUUUGUCACAAUAAGGUUAGUUAACACAUCCAUCACCUCACCUAGUUAUAAGUGUGUGUGUGUGGGGGGUCUGCUCUUUUAGCAACUUUCAAAUAGGCAAUUCCAUAUUCUUAACUAUAGACACCACACUGUACAUUAUGUCCAUAGAACUUUGUUAUCUUACAACUGAGAGUUUAUGGCCUUUGUCUUCCCCCCCCCCAAACCCUCCCCCCCCCCCACUUUUUUUUUUCAAAUAAAUGGGAACUGGGCUCUGGGAGUAUGCUAUGUCUAGGACACCAUACCUUAUUAAUAGCAAUGCCAGACCUAGAAGCCAGGCCCUCGGGGUUCUUUUUGUAUCUUUUUUUCAGCACAGAGCAUCGAUUCAUUCAUAGAAGGUCUUAAGGCUGGAUCUUUUUCUUUUCUUCAGAGCGGCCUGCUUGUUUUUUGGAACUUCUCUCUUUCCUUGAUCACUCUAUCUUAGAAUCUGUUCCCGGAGCCUCUGAUGAACCUCAGACAUUAUCAGGACAUUGACUUCUGUAAAAAAUGUAGCCAGUAUCACCUUUUAGCUUGAUUGUAAGUACCUGUGUCCCUUUCCAGUUCUUUUGUUCUAGAACUAUUACCUAAAAUUAUUUAUAUUCCAUAUAUAUAUGUGGAAUGGUUCUUUUAGUAACUGUUCUAUUUCUCAGAGUGGGCACUUAGCUCGGUGCAUGCCCAUGUUUCCAAAGUGCUUUCUGGCUCCUGUGCUGGCCACGAGGAGAGCUUUUGCACACAAGUGAGCCAGGAUGUCUCAGGGGAACUGGUAAUUGAGAGAGGGGUAUUGACCUUGUGGUCAUCAGUCUGAAUGUGCCUAAGUGAGUAGCAGCCCAAAGCCAUUACUGCUGCCUUCCAGGAAUCUUUAAUAAAUGAAUUAGCGGGCUUUCUGGGCUCUUGAUGACCUGUAGAAAGCCUCAUACAGGCUUCAUUUGUUCACCCAUUUAUUUUCUUCCGUUGGGGCCUGAAAUACAACCCCCUAUGUGGAAAUCUCCCAGCUAUGGGUUUCAGAGCUCUUGGAACAGGAGGAGUAGUUGCCAUUUGUGACUGUCUUCUGAGAACUAGGAGCUUUGUACACUCGCUAAUUUCAUUCUCUCUAAAACUGUAGAGGUGUCUAUAAUUAUACCUUCGUGUUUCAAAGACGAAGCCACGGAGUCUAAGUUAACAACAACAACAAAAAAAAAAACAGCUUAAGAUCACCCAGCUACAAAGUACACAGUAUUUUAAUAUGGACCUAUAGUGUGAAGAAUCUGUUCUACUACGUCCCUCUUCCAAGUGAAGGGCGGGGAGAAAAGAGAGGAGAAAAGAGAGGUUCACUGGCCAUUUCCACCCUUAAGUGUGGGGGAAAGAAGAAUCACACUAGGCCAACGAGGAGGACUUUAAGAGCUCCAUCUGACUCCUUUGGUUCCUUUCAGCAAAUAUCUGCUCUGUGCCUGGUACUGUGCUGAGGGGAAGAAGUGUGUUGCCAUUCACUUCUCUUGGUCCCAAGGAAAUGGACUCCUGUCGAUCAGACUCGAUCAAGUAAAACGGUAUAUCAUCGGGUGUUAAUGCCCAAGGUACAUCCCUGACAGUGAGUGCUCUGGGAGGUAGUGGGAAGAGAGAAGUUGCCGUAUCAAAUUGAUCUUCUUUGGCACAAGGAGGAGAUUUAGCAUCCCUUUUACUGUUCUCCACCUAAGAAACUUAUUAGGCAUACUUAAAAGGUAAAUGAUGGUUCAAGGUAGAUUGAGGGAUCCAGUGCAUGGGUCUAGACCAGAAACCACAGCUUCCUGAUUUCUGCAGCCUGCUUCUCUGUCAACUAGGUUUUAUCUUCUCUCUGCCAAAGAACCCACCCUCCUCAUUUCUGCACUAUUGGCCCAUAAAACAAUGAUGUCACCAUGAACAGAUGAAGUGAAGACGCGCCCUCUGGGAAAGGAACUCAAGAUGCCAGCAGGGCCCAUCUUCCAUGCCUCGGUGACAGGCACGUCCCUCCGUCCAUCUGCAGAAUAACCACACUCUGGCACCUCUCAUAGUCAAGGCCUGCCUUUCUGACCUGGUUCUUUUCAAGGGUGGGGGUCAGUACGAGCAGGGAGGUGCGCACUAGCACGAGAAGAAUGAAGCAGUGAUAGGGCUGAUGGUGCUCUAGGUUAUAGAGCUUUAUAUGCGAAAGGAAUUUAGGCAGCAUUUCCCUUUUUCAGAUGCAGAAACUCAGCAUCAGCACAGAUAAAGGCCUGCAAGAUCUCACAGCAAGUUAGAGGCUGAGCCAGGACUAGACCCCAGGUCUCUUCACUCGAAGGCUCAAGUUGUGUGCCUGCCCCUCCCUACCCCCCGCACCCCCCCCCCCACGUCCCCGCUUCAUCCCAUGGGGGUGCUGGGGCUGACAGGAUUCUGAACAAGUCUUAGGGGUCAGAAUAAUGAGCUCUGUGACGAGAGCACAAGUUCAUAGGUUUCGUCCGUGUGACCGCCUGCACCUACACAGGGCAGCGUGCACAACCCUGGUUGCACGUUACGAUCACCUGGGGAGCUUGAGAAACGUGUGUGGGCCCCACCACAGCCCAGUUGAAACCACUCCUUGUCCUCCUGCAAGUAUGACCUGUCUCACCUAAGAUUGUCAUCUUGCAGUGACAUUGCAAGGUUUUCUCCAAGUGCCAUCGGGAACCCCAGGGGUGCCAGUUAAGAAACAGACUCCGGGUCUCGUCUGCUUCUCCUGAGUACAACCUUCUGGUGUCAGGAGCUGGGCUUCUGCAUCUGAAGCAAGUUCCCGGUGAUUCUGAUGCAAAACCAGUGUUCUGACAUGGUGUGUUUCCUUCUAGUCCGUCCUCCCUGGCCCCCCACUGGCCCCUCCUGACGCCUCCAACCACUCUGCUUCUGCUCCUUCCUUCUUCAGGGCCAGACCUGGAGGGGAGGAAAGCGGGCGUGACCUUGCCCUGGCAGGGCCUCUGAACUUCAAACUUUUGUUUUUUUGUUUUUUUGUUUUUUUACAUUGGUUUGGUUUUUCUCUUUCAAAAGGGAAAGAAAUUUGCAAUAUAGGCUUUCUUUCAUAUUAAUUUUAAAACGAUGAGUGAUGAUGACAACACUAAACUGAACCUUUUUUUUUUUUAAAGAAACUAGAUCGAUCCACUGGCCAGUAAGCAGUGGGAUUGUGUCUUUCACCAUUAGCUCAUCCUUUUUUUGAGCUUUGUUUGUGAUGUUACCCUUUGCAUCAUCACUAGAAAUACGGCUAUCACUGGGCACUCAGCACUGACCUCAACAUAGCAGAAAAAGUGUUUCCCACUUUCCUCUCAAAAUACACAGGAUCCGACAACGGUGAUACUAGAAAAACAUAAUAGCCAUUAUUAUCAAUAUUCUUGAAAAGAGAAGUGACAAUAUUUCUCCCUUCUAAGUUUUUUCAUUUCUAGCACAUCUAAACCUUCACUCGACUGACUUUGUUCUUUCUGGCUCUAGGAUUUCGUAUUGUACUUAUUACAAAGCACACAAAAUGGUUCUACUCUUGCUCUGUGCGAUGCUAUUCCACAGAUAAAGAAAACACUUUAAAUGAAGGACAAAAAGCCCCCUCAGGAGUGCACUUCUGCAGAAUGCAUUUCUGCCUGACAUCUUUUGACGCCUUAAUUUUGAAAAUUUCACAUUUUUAAGGAAAAAAACUGCUUGUUUCCCCUCUUCAGAUUUAUCGUCUUCGGUAUGAGGGUUCUCUUUGUGUUUGUGGAGGUGGUCUUCUGCUUGCUUUCGGUGUUUUGUCUUCAUAUCAUUAAUUUUGUGUCAGGCGGUAAGGUCAGAGAUGUGCUGAAGCAUUUUAGCUUAGGGAAACCAUGUUUAGAACUGUGGACUCGGGGACGUCCACUCUUCUCUUCCCAACCUUGCCACCAUAAGUGACCCUUGUAACUGUGAUCUAGAACCACGAAUUCAGUCCUGUCUUUACAUUGCUCUGGUGUCAUAUAAAGGUUUUGUGGUACCUGUUCUAAAAUCUGUGCAAUAUUGAAAAACCAGUGGAUUUACUGCAGCAGGAUACAGGGCACUUUAUGAUUUGUUUGGAUUUUCUGGACAUUGAGGACUGUGAAGCAAAGGUGAACGGGUCUGGGAAACAAGUGGGAAAGGGAUAUUUGAAUUUUCAGAUGACCUUUAGCAAGUUACUUAAUUUUUCUAACUCUCUGUUCCUUCACUGUGAAACAAAUCUAGCAUCAUUACUUCAUCGGAAAGACUAUUUAGGGACUGAGAAUAUUCAUGUAAAGUGCUCGGCUCAUAAGAUUGAAGGUAGUAAGAGCAAGAUGAGCUUGACAAAUCUUGGUUGAAUAUGAGUCACCAUCUGGAAUCAACUCUCAGGCUUUGUAACACAGACCAUUCUGUGACCAAGGGUCUGAAUCUGUGCCUUGGGCAGCAGCAGUGGCCUUGUUUUGGUCGUUGUUGUUUUUCUGAAAUGAAUCAACUGCUAGUUGUAUAACGAACAUUCAGGUGGGAAGGAGCCUAUCCCCAAACCCUCAAGCACGCACCUGCCUCCAGUCGACCAAAACGGCGAUGAACAAAGUAAAGAAGAUAAAGUUAGGCCUGAAAUAAAUGGGCAAAUAGCAUCAGCUCAUUCAACCUGUUAGUAACUUAGUAUUUCUUGCCUUUUUUUCCCUUCCAGUAUAAAGACUUUCAGUUUUAUUCCCACAGGGAUUUUGUGCAUCAUAAAAAUAAGAAAGUGGGGGGGGGAAUGAAAACCAAACAAAGUGGCACACAGUUGUUUUAAAUAUGAAACAGGGGGAUGGUACACUAAAUUGAGUAAUUCAGGAGUGGAGAUAAUCAUGUAAAAAUAGGUAGUUUCAAUGGGGACCAUUUUUUAAUAUGAAAUCCAAUAAUGAAAGCAAGUUUAACUCCAUGGAUGAUCAACCCAGUGGUUUCUAGUUUGUCUAGUUCCAUUUAAAAAAAUCUCGUGGCUUCUAUCGUAUUUCUGAAAGAUGCAAAAAUAGAAGACCAAGAAAUAUGGUGAUGUGGGUUGGUAGGUGUUGGAAGCCUGAUUUCUAAGUGAGAUGAAUAGCGUGAGCAUCUGAGCUCUGCAUGUAGAAAUGGAAAAAAUGCUACUGAUUUUGUUCCCUCCCCUCUUUCUCCUUGAGGUGGUAAAUAUUCUUUUUACCAAGUCUUUAAGGUAUAACUUCUUGGUAAAGAAAAACGAGUAUUUUGCAGCUAUGUGGCAUAUAACAAUGAAGUGCCUUUGUGACACAUCAUUAUCAUUUGUAUUAUUAUUU